CCUACGGGUGGCAGCAGUCGAGAAUCAUUCACAAUGGGGGAAACCCUGAUGGUGCGACGCCGCGUGGGGGACUGAAGGUCUUCGGAUUGUAAACCCCUGUCAUGUGGGAGCAAAUUAAAAAGAUAGUACCACAAGAGGAAGAGACGGCUAACUCUGUGCCAGCAGCCGCGGUAAUACAGAGGUCUCAAGCGUUGUUCGGAAUCACUGGGCGUAACGCGUGGGUAGGCUGUUUCGUAAGUCGUGUGUGAAAGGGGCGGGCUCAACCCGCGGACGGCACAUGAUACUGCGAGACUAGAGUAAUGGAGGGGGAAGCGGAAUUCUCGGGGUAGCAGUGAAAUGCGUAGAUAUCGAGAGGAACACUAGUGGCGAAGGCGGGUUCCUGGACAUUAACUGACGCUGAGGCACGAAGGCCAGGGGAGUGAAAGGGAUUAGAUACCCUUGUAGUC
rnacentral:rRNA from 1 species